GACGAACCGUGCGAACGUUGUUCGGAAUCACUGGGCUUAAAGGGUGUGUAGGCGGGCUUGCAAGUCUGCGGUGAAAGCCUCCAGCUUAACUGGAGAAGUGCCGUGGAUACUGCGAGUCUCGAGGAGGGUAGGGGCAUCUGGAACGUUGGGUGGAGCGGUGAAAUGCGUUGAUAUCCAACGGAACUCCGGUGGCGAAGGCGAGGUGCUGGACCCUUUCUGACGCUGAAACACGAAAGCCAGGGGAGCGAACGGG
rnacentral:rRNA from 1 species